rnacentral:rRNA from 1 species
CAGCCGCCACGGUAACACGGAGGGUGCAAGCGUUAAUCGGAAUUACUGGGCGUAAAGCGCACGCAGGCGGUCUGUCAAGUCAGAUGUGAAAUCCCCGGGCUUAACCUGGGAACUGCAUUUGAAACUGGCAGGCUAGAGUCUUGUAGAGGGGGGUAGAAUUCCAGGUGUAGCGGUGAAAUGCGUAGAGAUCUGGAGGAAUACCGGUGGCGAAGGCGGCCCCCUGGACAAAGACUGACGCUCAGGUGCGAAAGCGUGGGGAGCAAACAGGAUUAGAUACCCGCGUAGUCCCUGUCUCUUAUAC